GUUGAUGCAGGAUCAGAUCACAACAGUGUUUGUGUGUGUGUUUGUGUGUGUGUCCUUGACGGUCUGUGUUUUGAAAUGAGUUUGUCCCUUGACUCCUUGACCCCUCAUGUUUUAUGACUUCAUCCACUGUGUGUGUGUGUGUGUGUGUGUGUGUGUGUGUGUGUGUGUGUGUGUGUGUGUGCGCAGCAGGAAGUCUGGUGUAUGGUCCUCUCUGCAUUCUGGGAGAGAUUAUUCAAAGCCGUUGUUGUUGCUGUUGAGCCACAGGCUCCGCCCACUCCAUCAGGAGAGCGUUGAGGUCAGGUGAUGAGGAGACGCACCUGGGGCUGAUUUCCUCAUCCGAGACUAUAAAGCUCAGGCAGAGGACCAGACCAGGGGGGGGGGGGGGGCAGACUGGUAGAAGGUGGUCUGGUGGAAGGUGGUCUGGUGGAAGGGGCAUGGUAGAAGGUGGUCUGGUGGAAGGUGGUCUGGUAGAAGGUGGUCUGGUGGAAGGUGGUCUGGUAGAAGGUGGUCUGGUGGAAGGGGCAUGGUAGAAGGUGGUCUGGUGGAAGGUGGUCUGGUAGAAGGGGG
ensembl:lncRNA